rnacentral:rRNA from 1 species
UACCAGCACCCCGAGUGGUCGGGACGAUUAUUGGGCCUAAAGCAUCCGUAGCCGGUUUUACAAGUCCUCCGUUAAAUCCAACUGCUUAACAGGUGGGCCGCGGAGGAUACUAUAAGACUAGGAGGCGGGAGAGGCAAGCGGUACUUAGUGGGUAGGGGUAAAAUCCGUUGAUCCAUUGAAGACCACCAGUGGCGAAGGCGGCUUGCCAGAACGCACUCGACGGUGAGGGAUGAAAGCUGGGGGAGCAAACCGG